rnacentral:rRNA from 1 species
AUUGAACGCUGGCGGCAUGCCUUACACAUGCAAGUCGAACGGCGGCGGGCCCUUCGGGGUGCCGGCGAGUGGCGAACGGGUGAGUAAUGCAUCGGAACGUACCCGGGAGAGGGGGAUAACCGGCCGAAAGGCUGGCUAAUACCGCAUGAACUCGGAAGAGCAAAGCGGGGGACCUUCGGGCCUCGCGCUCUCGGAGCGGCCGAUGUCCGAUUAGGCUAGUUGGUGGGGUAAAGGCCCACCAAGGCGACGAUCGGUAGCGGGUCUGAGAGGACGAUCCGCCACACUGGGACUGAGACACGGCCCAGACUCCUACGGGAGGCAGCAGUGGGGAAUCUUGGACAAUGGGCGCAAGCCUGAUCCAGCAAUGCCGCGUGGGUGAAGAAGGCCUUCGGGUUGUAAAGCCCUUUCGGCGGGGAAGAAAUCGGUCAGGCGAAUAGUCUGGCCGGAUGACGGUACCCGCAGAAGAAGCACCGGCUAACUACGUG